GCUCUGAGCUCUAAUGCUCUAAAGACUUUGAGACCAUCUGUUUGAAAAAAUGCCUCUUUUACCUUGCUGGGCAUGUCUGAUGGAAGCCAUCACAGCAGAACAAGGUUUCUCAGUGUUGUGGUUCUUGAGCUGCUUGGGAAAUCUGAACUGAGGGAAACAGAAACCUCAGCGUUUCUCUUAAGCAAAGUCUGAAGCAGUACUUCAUGCAGAGCUACCAGGAAUCUCAUCCAAGACAUUUUGUGGCAUAAAUCAAACAUUCCUCUCUGCAUGUGAAACAUGGAUGGAAUUAAACCAAGUCUGUCUUUGCUGGGGAAGUGUCAGAUGCAGGCUGCUCCCUGUGCUGGAGAUUUCCCAGUUCUGACUGUGGUCCUCAAAGGAAGGAAAUAUCAUCACAACAUCUGUUUCCAGAAAUCUCAAAAUCAGCCAAAGGUAAGGUUUGUGGGUGUAUUUUUGUGCCCACUGCUUAUCUCUAAAUACAGUAGUGA
ensembl:lncRNA